GACGAACGCUGGCGGCGUGCUUAACACAUGCAAGUCGAACGCUGAAGCACCAGCUUGCUGGUGUGGAUGAGUGGCGAACGGGUGAGUAAUACGUGAGUAACCUGCCCUUGACUCUGGGAUAAGCCCGGGAAACUGGGUCUAAUACUGGAUGCUACAUGUCACCGCAUGGUGGUGUGUGGAAAGGGUUUACUGGUCUUGGAUGGGCUCACGGCCUAUCAGCUUGUUGGUGAGGUAAUGGCUCACCAAGGCGACGACGGGUAGCCGGCCUGAGAGGGUGACCGGCCACACUGGGACUGGGACACGGCCCAGACUCCUACGGGAGGCAGCAGUGGGGAAUAUUGCACAAUGGGCGAAAGCCUGAUGCAGCGACGCCGCGGGAGGGAUGACGGCCUUCGGGUUGUAAACCUCUUUCAGCAGGGAAGAAGCCACAAGUGACGGUACCUGCAGAAGAAGCGCCGGCUAACUACGUG
rnacentral:rRNA from 1 species